GGGAUGGGAGGGGUGGUGGAGGUGGUGAGAAAAGGUGCAAAAAAAAACUACUUCGGUUCUAAAUCGCGAUUUUCUCUUUUAUUAUUGGAGUUUGUAUUGUUUCUGUAUUUUGUUCAUUGAUCGGAAUGUAAAUCAAUUUGUAAUUGUAAUAAGAUCGUGUCUAGCUGUGUUUUUUGUUUCUCGUUUAAAUAACACUUUCGGCAUUCUAUAAUUCCAACUUUUUUUUUAAUUAGCACGCCUAGGAUUGUUUUGGUGUUUGAUAUGACACUUAAAAAAAUAUGAAAAACAUGGCUCAAGUAAUAAUAUUCCAUAAAAUUUUGUCUAACUUCGUAUUUUCAAAUUUAAAAUUUUUAACGGUAACAAAAUAGAAAACAAAAAUCUUUAUACGACAAGGAAUCCACAUUUUCUUUAUUUGGCUGGAAAGCAAAUAUUUUUCGUAUUCAUAAAAUAUAAUAUGAUGUGGUUCGGCUGUGCUUUCCAUCUCGACAUUAUGAUGUGUUUUGGCGCCCUUAUUCUGACACAGACCGCUCAUUGGACGGCGCUAUGUAAACAAACCACCCGCGUGGCGUCGAACUGAUAAGCUUUGUCCCUGAAGUCAUCCAGCGCUUCUUCCAGCAGGGCUACAAAUACACAGAGAGAGGUUCGGAUUGGAAGGAUUGGGGUAGGAAAGUAGGACGUUGUAAGGAACAAGAUCAGCUGAGUCGAAUCCUGCUGCUUCGAAACGCUUCCGAAUCAUCUCCGCUAGAUAGUCGUCUUGCUCGCUGCCCGCCAGCUCCUCACCUGACCAUGUGCUGCUGUUCCUCCGUGACUCCCCUCGUGCCCAGGUGUCCAAUGAUGCCCCCCACCAGGAGCCCCACACACGCCGCCGCCGCCACGCCCGCCACCAGUGCCUUGGACACCGCCAUCCUGAAGAGCUGGUGCACAUUGCUACAAAGAGACGACUCCAUUGCAACUCAGGCUUUACCCUUGACAAAACUGGCAAUUUUAUUCAACAUCUGGAUUUAGCAAGACCAGGCUGCACUACAACAACACGAAGGAAGCGUCUGUAGUUAUGGCAGCUCCGUCCGAGGCCGCCCCGCCGUCCAUGGAUUCCAUUGAGCUAUCCCUGUCAAGUUUUCCGCCUUUCUCGCAGUCUCAGAUGUUACGCAGCUCCCCUGACUAGCCACACAGGAUUUAAAUGAGAGACUAAUAUCUCUCUCUCUCUCUCUCUCUCUCUCUCUCUCUCUCUCUCUCUCUCUCUCUCUCUCUCUCUCUCGUGUGUGUGUGUAGGGAAACGUUCAUGAAAUUUUGUAAUGAAGAAAAGGUAAAAUGAUUGAACAGUAAGAUGGACAGAUUCUCAGUUUUUCUGUGAACUUUGUGUCUGUCAAAGAUGAAAGUGGUCAAUCUGUGUGUUAUUUUAUCUCUUCGUGGAGGCAUCUCUGUCUGAGGAGGAAGGAGAGAUGAGUGGCUGACUUGUAUUUAUUUGUUAGGUGUUGGUGAGUGA